rnacentral:rRNA from 2 species
UUGACCUCGGAUCAGGUAGGAAUACCCGCUGAACUUAAGCAUAUCAAUAAGGCGGAG